GACGAACGCUGGCGGCGUGCUUAACACAUGCAAGUCGAACGGAAAGGCCCUGCUUUUGUGGGGUGCUCGAGUGGCGAACGGGUGAGUAACACGUGAGUAACCUGCCCUUGACUUUGGGAUAACUUCAGGAAACUGGGGCUAAUACCGGAUAGGAGCUCCCGCUGCAUGGUGGGGGUUGGAAAGUUUCGGCGGUUGGGGAUAGAUUCGCGGCUUAUCAGCUUGUUGGUGGGGUAGUGGCUGACCAAGGCUUUGACGGGUAGCCGGCAUGAGAGGGUGACCGGCCACAAGGGGACUGAGAUACGGCGCAGUGUGCUACGGGGGGCAGCAGGGGGGAAUAUUGUACAAUGGGAGGAAGUGUGUGGCGGCGACGCCGCGGUCGUGAUGACGGCUUUUGGGUUGUAAACCGCAUUCGCCUGUGACGAAGCGGGAGUGACGGUAAUGGGUGAAGAAGCACCGGCUAACUACGUG
rnacentral:rRNA from 1 species